AUUCACUUACCACUAGCAGCAAACCACGGGCAAACAUUCACUUACAACAAGCAACAAACCACAGGUAAACAUUCACUUACUACUAGCAGCAAACCACAGGUAAACAUUCACUUACCACUAGCAACAAACCACAGGUAAACAUUCACUUACUACUAGCAGCAAACCACGGGCAAACAUUGACUUACCACUAGCAACAAACCACAGGUAAACAUUCACUUACCACUAGCAGCAAACCACGGGCAAACAUUCACUUACAACAAGCAACAAACCACAGCUACGACCUCGUGUAAAGAGAGUGAACCUCAGAGACCUGCAGUUUUUGAUGGAGAAUGAGAAGGAUAUGGCAAAAGGAACACUGUUAUACAAAACUCAUCUAAAGUAGAAGGUUAUUCAGCAGUACAAACGUGUUGAAUUAGAUUUCAAACAUUGAUACCUAAUCAAGAUGGAUAUGGAAGAGUAUCUGUAUUUGAUUGUAAACAACUGGUCUGGAUGUAUGUGAAAUGCUGGAGAAAAUUCACUGUUCAUGAUGGACAUCUUUGGUUAGGAUCGAGCUAAGGUACCAAUUAUAGUUAGCUGUAAACAACUGGUCUGGAUGUAUGUGAGAAACUGGAGAAAAUACACUGUUCAUGAUGGACAUCUUUGGUUAGGAUCUAGCUAAGGUACCAACUAUAGUUAGCUGUAAACAACUGGUCUGGAUGUAUGUGAAAAACUGGAGAAAAUACACUGUUCAUGAUGGACAUCUUUGGUUAGGAUUUAGCUAAGGUACCAACUAUAGUUAGCUGUAUACAACUGGUCUGGAUGUAUGUGAAAAACUGGAGAAAA